GACAGCAGGACGGUGGCCCAUGGAAGUCGGUACCCCGCUAAGGAGUGUGUAACAACUCACCUGCCGGAAUCAACUAGCCCUGAAAAAUGGAUGGCGGCUUAAGCGAGAGACCUAUACUCCGCCGUCGCGGCAUGUGCGUUGUCUAGCGCCAGGUCGCGACGAGUAGGAAGGACGUGGCGGUUGCGUUGAAGGCUAUGAGCGUAGGCUCGGCUGGAGCUUCCGUCAGUGCAGAUCGUAAUGGUAGUAGCAAAUAUUCAAGUUCGAUCCUUGAAGACUGAAGUGGAGAAGGGUUCCACGUGAACAGUAGUUGGAUGUGGGUCAGUCGAUCCUAAGGUACUGGCGAAAGCCUUGUAUCAUCGGUGGCGAAAAGCUUGCUUUUUGUCCCCGCCCGUCGAAAGGGAAUAGGGUUAAUAUUCCCUAACUGAGAUGCAAAGAUUGUGUUUUUCGGAGCACAAGCGCGGUAACGCGUUCGAACUUGGUAAGUCGCUCAGAGACCGAGCUAGAGUUUUCUUCUCUAGUUAAGGAACGGACUCCCUGGAAUUGGUUCAGCCAGAGAUGGGGACGUUGUUUCCGAAAAGCACCGCGGUUUCUGUGGUGUCUCGUGCUCUCUGAACGGCCCUUUAAACACCAAGGGAGGCUAUUAAUUUGCACUCAAUCGUACCGAUAUCCGCAUUAGGUCUACCAAGGUGAACAGCCUCUAGUCGAUAGAAUAAUGUAGGUAAGGGAAGUCGGCAAACUAGAUCCGUAACUUCGGGAAAAGGAUUGGCUCCAGUGGUCGGAACGGUUGGCCAGUUGGUUGAUGCUUGUCCGGCGCUGUUCUGUCUGCUUGAUGCUUUCGGGCUGAUGGCGGCCUAGUGAUAGUGCUUGCUUGUUGACGCUUUCUGGUGUGUGCUUUGACCUCGGUCUUAGUAUCCUGAUCGUUCAUCUAAACGACUAAACUGGAACCGGUACGGACUCAGGGAAUCCGACUGUCUAAUUAAAACAGAGGUGACAGAUGGUCCUUGCGGACGCUGACUGUCACUGAUUUCUGCCCAGUGCUCUGAAUGUUAAAUCGUAGUAAUUCGAGU
rnacentral:ncRNA from 1 species